UGCCUGUCCGAGCGUCAUUUCCUCCCUCACGCAGCGCGCCUGCGUGGUGUUGGGGCGUUUCUGCGGCCAGGCCUGCGCCUAGCAGGCCUCCGCAGCCCCCGAAAGCCAGUGGCGGGCCGGCAGCGGGCUCCGAGCGCAGUAAGCAGCAGUGCCCUCGCUCUGGACGCCUCCGCCUGCGCCCUGCCCCAAAUGACCGGCAGACGCAAGUCUGCCCCUCCUUCUCAAGGUUGACCUCGGAUCAGGUAGGACUACCCGCUGAACUUAAGCAUAUCAAUAAGCGGAGGAAAAGAAACCAACAGGGAUUGCCCCAGUAACGGCGAGUGAAGCGGCAACAGCUCAGAUUUGGAAUCUGGCCCCCAGGGCCCGAGUUGUAAUCUGGAGAGGAUGCUUCUGGCGCGGCGCCUUCCGAGUUCCCUGGAACGGGACGCCGGAGAGGGUGAGAGCCCCGUACGGUUGGACGCCUAGCCUUUGUGAAGCUCCUUCGACGAGUCGAGUAGUUUGGGAAUGCUGCUCAAAAUGGGAGGUAAAUUUCUUCUAAAGCUAAAUACCGGCCAGAGACCGAUAGCGCACAAGUAGAGUGAUCGAAAGAUGAAAAGCACUUUGAAAAGAGGG
rnacentral:rRNA from 2 species